AGAUUAGUAUAAACGAGUGGCAAACGGAUGACUAGGAUGUUAUAAUUUGAGGACGUUAUAAAUACGAAAGAUGGGCAGAGAAGGUAUGAAAGCCCAUUUUCCAUAAGUAAACCUAAAUUCUAAACCCUAGGAAUUGAAACAUCUUAGUACUAGGAGGAAAAGAAAUCAAGCGAGAUUCCGUGAGUAGUGGCGAGCGAAAGCGGAUAUAGACUAUGGAAUCCCGCCUUUAGGGGCGGGGUUGAAAUUGAAAACCAAAGAGGGUAACAGGCCCGUAGAUAAAAUCGAUGAUUCCGUAGUUCUUGGAGUAGAACUAUUUGAAGAAAGGUGCUCCAUAUAUCUAAAACUAAAUAUUAUAACAUACCGAUAGUGAAUUAGUACUGUGAAGGAAAGUUGAAAGAGAUAAUAGUGAAAUAGAGCCUGAAAUUUGCCAUCUCACAAGCAGACGAAAUUCGUUGUACCUUUUGUAUAAUGGGUUCGCAAGAUAAAUAUUUGGCAAACUUAAGUUAAUAGACGUAGGUGUAGUGAAAACGAGUUUUAAUAGAGCGUUAGUCAAAUAGAGCCCGAAACCAAGUGAUCUAGCCAUGGGCAGUUUGAAACCCGUUUAAUAGCGGGCGGAGGAACGAACCGGUGAUUGUGGCAAAAAUCUCGGAUGACCUGUGGUUAGGGGUGAAAAGCCAAUCGAACUUGGAAAUAGCUGGUUUUCUGCGAAAACUAUUGAAGUAGUGCGUCAUAUGGCGGGAUAUCCUGGACGGCGCACCUACAGCUUACUGUAGGUGCGCCGUCCUCGGAUAUCAGUAUAUUCUUACACAGUAAAGCACUGAAUGGGUUUAGGGGUUAGGCCUACUAAAUUCAACCAAACUAUGAAGGUGUAAGGAGAAAAUAUGAUAGACAGACAGUGGGCGAGAAGGUCCAUUGUCAAGAAGGAAACAACCUAGAUCAGAAGUUAAGGUCAUAAAUAUAAUCUAAGUGUAAAAGGGAAUUUUUAAAUUAAGACAAUGAGAAAGUAGGCUUGGAACCAGCCAUCUUUGAAAGAUUACGUAACAGUUCACUCAAUAAAUUUAUAGAUCCCAAAAAUUAUGGUGGCUUAAGCUUGGCAGCAAGUUAAACCGAAACUCUGAAUAAAUACCAUAAGGGGCUAGUGAGGCUAUAGCCUCACUAGCCCCGGUGGCUUAUAGUGGUAGCAGAACGUACUGUAAAUAAUAACCAUAGGCUAGGCGGUGACGCCUUGCCGAUGGUUGGUUAUUGCGAAAGCGUUUAUCAGGAGUGAUAAUGCGAACAUGAGUAAAAAACAGUGUGAGGAUCACUGCUCACGGCCCAAGGUUUCCAAUCAUAGGAUUAUCCGGAUUGGGUUAUACAGUCCCUAAGAGGGCUUCAUAGUAUUCGGCACCGACGGUAUCAGGCUCCAUAGGAGCCUGUGCCUCGGUGCUAUUUCGAUGGGAGUAUUUAAUAACAAGUGUCUAAGAUAUUAUAAGAAAUUAUUCAGGGUCUAUUAAGACCCUAGGCUGUACUAAAACUAACACAAGUGGGCAUAAAAGUGAUGGUAUAAUUUAUCUUAAGGAACUCGGCAAAAUGUCCCUGUAAGUUCGCAAGAAGGGGAGCCAGCUAUAGACAGAGGUAACCUGUGCCGGAUAUCCGGGACUAGGUUAUCUAAUUUGACUGGCCUCAGAAAAGAGGGGGUGUCGACUGUUUACCAAAAACAUAGCUUCCAGCAAAGGGCCAAGGGCCUGAAGUAUUGGAGGUGAGGCCUGCCCAAUGGUUGUAUCUAAAACCAAGUAAUAAAAAAAGUUAGCUUGGGUAAGGACAAUUGAAUGGCCGCGGUAAAUCUGACCGUGAUAAUGUAGCGCAAUCAAUAGCCAAUUAAUUGUUGGCAAGUAUGAAUGGCUUAACGAAUGCCCCGCUGUCUCAAGAUAAAAACCAAUGAAAUUGAAUUCGUAGUGAAGAUGCUACGUAUAAAUUGUUAGACGAGAAGACCCCAUUGAGCUUUACUGGAGACUUAUAUGGUUCUUUACCAAUUAAUUGUGUAGACUAUGUGGGUAAACCCUCGCGUAUGCCGGGCUGCAGCACCUACGGUGCCGUGCCGCAUGGGGUUAUAAUGAAAAACCACUCUUUAAUUAUAAAAAGAACUAAAAUAAUGGAAAGGUAUAUGUCAGACAGUUUGGUUGGGGCGACCGCCUUCUAAAGAGUAACGAAGGCGUACAUAAGGUUAAUAAUAUAAUAGUAUAAAGUUUAAAGCCUGACAGUAAGGAGGACGUCCGAGCUGACACGCCGUAGGCAGCUGCCUAUUCCGUGGGUUAUAAUGACCCGUUAGCUUAGAAUGGGAUAGCUAACGAGCAACGAAUAAAAGUUACCAUGGGGAUAACAGCGUAAUAUCGUUUGAGAGUUCAUAUCGACGACGAUGUUUGCGACCUCGAUGUUGAAUUGCGGGAUCCUGGAGGUGCAGCCGCUUCCAAGGGUUGGACUGUUCGUCCAUUAAAGCCGUACAUGAUUUGAGUUCAGACCGGCGUGAGCCAGGUCGGUUUCUAUCUACAAUUUAUGUAGGAAACAUUAGAUAUAACUAUAUUCUAGUACGAAAGGACCGAAUGAUUAGUUAUCCGCUGGUGAACCAAUUGUAGUUAAUCAAGGUCGAUGGCGGCCGACUCUGUCGGCGGCCGCCUGAAGUAUUACUGUUGGGUGGCUACGAUAAUUAAAAUAAUCACUGAAUGCAUCUCAAGUGAGAAGUUAAAUAUCAUUCUAUGUUUCCAAUAUAUAGACUGUUUGAGAAUAAAACGUGGAUAGGAUCUGUGUU
rnacentral:rRNA from 1 species